AGAUCCACAACAUAGUUGGGUAGAAGUUGUGUUUUCAUAUCACCGAAUGGGUUUUUCGCCUCCCGGUAAAAAUCCUUCCUUCUUUCCAGAAAUAUUUCAUUCAGUGGCUUCCUUGUGUGAAGUCUUUUUUUUUUUUUUUUUAAUGUAUGAAGUCUUAUUGAUGAUAGGCAUUGAUGAUACAUAGACCAGAAAUAUGGUUUGUGCCUUUUUUGUCUUCACAGCCUGGUGGCAUUGUGCUUAACUUGGAUGGGCUUUGUCAUACCAGCAGAACCAUGUCAGUUUUCCUGAGAGAUUGGAAAAACAGGAGGAGGCACAUUGAUGACAUUUUGAUUGCAGGCCCUGCUUGGAAAGGCAAAAGGCAUUGGAGAAUGCUGAACCAAGUUGAAAAAGACCCCUGCCACCUCAAUCUGCAUUCUUUUUUUUUUUUUUUUUAAGUAAGUGGUAAAACUUUCCAGGAGUUGUUUGCAGAAAUUGUUACAUGUUUCAGUGGUAGCUAAUAAACUUACU
rnacentral:lncRNA from 12 species